rnacentral:lncRNA from 1 species
ACCAAUUACCUAUCUAGCUUUCUAAUCUUAACUAUUACAACAUGAAAUGACCAAAUAAACAUUCUGACCACAAAUUUCCAAAUCAAGCAAUCAUCUGAUCAUUACGCUUGAAACCAGUUUUUAACUAGUUUCAACAUGAAUCUGAACCUUGACUUCGAGAGUGAACAUGCUUACAAAAUAGAGUCUGGGUAAAUUGAUAUACAUACAAGCCAAUACUUAGCAUUUCAAUGAAUUCAAAUGGUCAUCACACCUAAAACUACAUUGAUCUUCAGCAUAAACUAAACAAAGGUAUACAACCCCCAAAGCAUUAAAUUAAACCUCUGUGACAAAGCCUUAACAACUCCUUUACCCAGCACACACUCGAACUCAUUAGAAGAAAACUAAAUAGCUAGAGUUCAUAGUUUAUUUAUCACUACAAAAACAGAUUUGCUACUAUAGGUUCAGAGAAUAAAGAUUCAGAAAAAAGGAAGGAGAUGAACUAAAUUAUGAAUAACAAACUAAUGCUAAGCGCUACAAUUCCAUUUUUCAUUUCACCCUUCAAGUCAAGCAUUCACCUUAUACAAGUUGUAGAGCGUGUACCUGGAAAUUGACAAGGAAAAGAAGUGAACACUCAACAGUAAACAGCAGCAAAAGACAGCCCCAGAUUCAACCAAUUGAAUAAUGAAAUUAGCUCAUGAAUGUCAAUGGAACAUUAGGAAAAAAAUCCCAAAAAAAAACAGCUCUAAACCAACUCUUGAAGUCCCAGAUUCAAGAUCUUUCUAAUCCGAGCUAUGACAUGAAAAUAACAUUUUCAGCAAAUUUUUUAACCAACAUCGGAAAUCCAGAAGCUGAAUUUUAAUGUAAUUCAAGCAGCUUCAACAAAAGAGCCCAGAACAUCAAGUGUUAUUUCAGAAUGCACUCCCCAAAAAAUUCCCAGCCAUUUUAGUUUUCAGAUUUUUUCUCCCCUCUAGCCGUUUCUCUGUUUUUUAUUUUUUUUAGCCCUCUCCAAUCUGCCUUGAGUUCUAAGUAACAAUGCCUUUAUAGGCAAGCUACUAGGGCUCCCUUAAAGAAUUCGAAAUUGCCCUUAAAACCUUCUGAAGUUUUCACUUUAGCUUAGCAAACCCUGGUGUAAACUUCAGAAUUCCAAAAUAGCCCCCAUCCCAGCUUCCUAGAAGCUUCCCAAUUCUAUUGCAAAUAGAUUCCCUUACUAAGACUACCCAAACUACCCUCCAUAUCCCUGUUUAUUACCCCUAAAACCUGUGGGUAUGGGCCAUGGGUCAAUGACCCAAUUUUUUGAAACAAAAAUGAAUUGGAUUUUAACCCAAACUCACCCCGCAAGAUCAGAAACCCAAACAGCUCCAAUUAUCACUUGCCCCAUUAUCAAAUUCCAACCCAAAAUAGCACAUGCCAACUUGUUUUAUCAACUUAAGAAAUUAGCCUAAGUAAUUUACUAAUUCAACAUUAACCAAACUAACAAUUUUAGGCCAGAACUCCACCUACUCAUGCAUGAAUUGAAGAACUCUGGGACGGAAAAAAAAUGAAAAACCACACAAGAAGAAAGGAAAGAACAGAGACUAAAAAAAGGAGGAAAGAAUAGACCAGAGGCAGAAGAGUGAAUACUUACUACAGUUCAGAUCAAGAGAAGAUAGUCUUGAGUCAUCAAACCUUCGGAUUUCCGGUCAAAUGUGAUAUUAAUCGCAUGUUCUCAUAGAGAACAAACGAAUAAAAUCACACUAGAGCCAAAACAUCUGCAGAAUCUUGAUUAGGAUUUUAGGGCUCAACUUAUAUUCAAGAUUCGGGGAGUUCCAUUAAGAUUCGAGGGUAAUGGGUUGGAUAUUUGGGAUGGGGAAGACGUGGUGGUUCUGUGGUGUAUUUUUGGAGUGAUUUGGGAGGAGUUAUGUUUUGGGUCCGAUCUUCGAUCUAAUAUUCAAAGGGUUUGGCUGAGAUUCGAGGGAGAUGGUUUGGGGUUUUGGAAUGGGGAGAUGGAGGGGAAUCAAGGGUGUAAAUUUGGGGUCGAUUGGAGUACCGCCACCGACGGAGACAAUUUCCGGUAGGCGGUUCCGGCGGGGGUGAUGAGGCUCUGGUGAAGGAG